rnacentral:rRNA from 1 species
AACGCGAAGAACCUUACCUGGGCUUGACAUGUUUCUGACCGCCGUGGAAACACGGUUUCUCUUCGGAGCAGAAUCACAGGUGGUGCAUGGCUGUCGUCAGCUCGUGUCGUGAGAUGUUGGGUUAAGUCCCGCAACGAGCGCAACCCCCGUCGUAUGUUGCCAGCAUUUAGUUGGGGACUCAUACGAGACUGCCGGUGACAAACCGGAGGAAGGUGGGGAUGACGUCAAGUCAUCAUGCCCCUUAUGUCCAGGGCUACACACGUGCUACAUUGGCGCGUACAGAGGGCUGCAAGACCGCGAGGUGGAGCGAAUCCCUUAAAGCGCGUCUCGGUUCGGAUUGUAGGCUGAAACUCGCCUACAUGAAGGUGGAGUUGCUAGUAAUCGCGGAUCAGCAUUGCCGCGGUGAAUACGUUCCCGGGCCUUGUACACACCGCGCAUA